GACGAACGCUGGCGGCGUGCCUAAUACAUGCCAGUAGAACGCACAGUUUAUACCGUAGCUUGCUACACCAUAGACUGUGAGUUGCGAACGGGUGAGUAACGCGUAGGUAACCUGCCUGGUAGCGGGGGAUAACUAUUGGAAACGAUAGCUAAUACCGCAUAAUAUUAAUUAUUGCAUGAUAAUUAAUUGAAAGGUGCAAUUGCACCACUACCAGAUGGACCUGCGUUGUAUUAGCUAGUAGGUGAGGUAACGGCUCACCUAGGCGACGAUACAUAGCCGACCUGAGAGGGUGAUCGGCCACACUGGGACUGAGGCACGGCCCAGACUCCUACGGGAGGCAGCAGUAGGGAAUCUUCGGCAAUGGACGAAAGUCUGACCGAGCAACGCCGCGUGAGUGAAGAAGGGUUUCGGAUCGUAAAGCUCUGUUGUAAGAGAAGAACGGGUGUGAGAGUGGAAAGUUCACACUGUGACGGUAUCUUACCAGAAAGGGACGGCUAACUACGUG
rnacentral:rRNA from 1 species